rnacentral:rRNA from 1 species
UACAGAGGGUGCAAGCGUUAAUCGCAAUUACUGGGCGUAAAGGGUGCGUAGGUGGUUUGAUAAGUUAGAUGUGAAAUUCCUGGGCUCAACCUGGGGACUGCGUCUGAUACUGUUGAGCUAGAGUUCUGUAGAGGAAGGUGGAAUUUCCGGAGUAGCGGUGAAAUGCGUAGAUAUCGGAAGGAACAUCGGUGGCGAAGGCGGCCUUCUGGACAGGAACUGACACUGAGGCACGAAAGCGUGGGGAGCAAACAGG